CGACCACCUAAACGUCGUCUUCAAGUAAUCCACUUUGGCAGCGAUCUUCUCCUUGCUGAGGCGUGCAACAGCAUUCAAUGCGUGUCUGAACAUCCUACAGCCACGAGGCACACCUAUACCUUCAGCAAGUGCCACCACUUCCCGGACGCGCUCCAAGUUGGAGGCGAGCAGACAUGGCUGGGUGACGCACAACUUGGCAAUGUCGGAGUCACCUAG
rnacentral:rRNA from 1 species